GACGAAGGAUCCAAGCGUUGUCCGGAUUUACUGGGUUUAAAGGGUGCGUAGGCGGACCGAUAAGUCAGUGGUGAAAGCCCAUAGCUCAACUAUGGAACUGCCAUUGAAACUGCCGGUCUUGAAUUCGGUUGAGGCAGAUGGAAUAUAACAUGUAGCGGUGAAAUGCUUAGAUAUGUUAUAGAACACCGAUUGCGAAGGCAGUCUGCUAAGUCGACAUUGACGCUGAGGCACGAAAGCGUGGGGAGCGAACAGG
rnacentral:rRNA from 1 species